rnacentral:rRNA from 1 species
CAGCAGCCGCGGGAAUCCGAAGGGUGCAAGCGUUACUCGGAAUUACUGGGCGUAAAGCGUGCGUAGGUGGUGGUUUAAGUCCGUUGUGAAAGCCCUGGGCUCAACCUGGGAAUUGCAGUGGAUACUGGGUCACUAGAGUGUGGUAGAGGAUAGUGGAAUUUCCGGUGUAGCAGUGAAAUGCGUAGAGAUCGGAAGGAACAUCUGUGGCGAAGGCGACUAUCUGGGCCAACACUGACACUGAGGCACGAAAGCGUGGGGAGCAAACAGGAUUAGAUACCCCUGUAGUCCCUGUCUCUUAUAC